rnacentral:rRNA from 1 species
UACGGGAGGCAGCAGUGGGGAAUAUUGCACAAUGGGCGCAAGCCUGAUGCAGCCAUGCCGCGUGUAUGAAGAAGGCCUUCGGGUUGUAAAGUACUUUCAGUCGUGAGGAAGGUGUUAAGGUUAAUAACCUUAGCAAUUGACGUUAGCGACAGAAGAAGCACCGGCUAACUCCGUGCCAGCAGCCGCGGUAAUACGGAGGGUGCGAGCGUUAAUCGGAAUUACUGGGCGUAAAGGGCAUGCAGGCGGUUAAUUAAGUUGGAUGUGAAAUCCCCGGGCUUAACCUGGGAAUGGCAUUCAAGACUGGUUAGCUAGAGUCUUGUAGAGGGGGUAGAAUUCCGAUGUGUAGCGGUGAAAUGCGUAGAGAUGUGGAGGAAUACCGGUGGCGAAGGCGGCCCCUGGACAAAGGCUGACGCUCAUGUGCGAAAGCGUGGGGAGCAAACAGGGAUUAGAUACC